rnacentral:tRNA from 1 species
AUUUAAAUAGCUUAUAAUGAGAGCAUAAUAGUGAAGUUAUUAAGGAAGUGUUAAACUUUUAAAUA